GACGAACGCUGGCGGCGUGCUUAACACAUGCAAGUCGAGCGGAAAGGCCACUUCGGUGGUACUCGAGCGGCGAACGGGUGAGUAACACGUGAGUAAUCUGCCCCUGGCUUUGGGAUAGCCACCGGAAACGGUGAUUAAUACGGGAUACGACCACUUCUCGCAUGGGAUGGUGGGGGAAAGUUUUUUCGGCCAGGGAUGUGCUCGCGGCCUAUCAGCUUGAUGGUGAGGUAAUGGCUCACCAUGGCUUCGACGGGUAGCCGGCCUGAGAGGGUGACCGGUCACACUGGGACUGGGACACGGCCCAGACUCCUACGGGAGGCAGCAGUGGGUAAUAUUGGACAAUGGGCGGAAGCCUGAUCCAGCAACGCCGCGUGAGGGAUGACGGCCUUCGGGUUGUAAACCUCUUUCAGCAGGGACGAAGCGCAAGUGACGGUACCUGCAGAAGAAGCACCGGCCAACUACGUGCCAGCAGCCGCGGUAA
rnacentral:rRNA from 1 species